rnacentral:rRNA from 1 species
CUAUACCUGCAGUCGAGCGGACAGAUGGGAGCUUGCUCCCUGAUGUUAGCGGCGGACGGGUGAGUAACACGUGGGUAACCUGCCUGUAAGACUGGGAUAACUCCGGGAAACCGGGGCUAAUACCGGAUGGUUGUUUGAACCGCAUGGUUCAAACAUAAAAGGUGGCUUCGGCUACCACUUACAGAUGGACCCGCGGCGCAUUAGCUAGUUGGUGAGGUAACGGCUCACCAAGGCAACGAUGCGUAGCCGACCUGAGAGGGUGAUCGGCCACACUGGGACUGAGACACGGCCCAGACUCCUACGGGAGGCAGCAGUAGGGAAUCUUCCGCAAUGGACGAAAGUCUGACGGAGCAACGCCGCGUGAGUGAUGAAGGUUUUCGGAUCGUAAAGCUCUGUUGUUAGGGAAGAACAAGUACCGUUCGAAUAGGGCGGUACCUUGACGGUACCUAACCAGAAAGCCACGGCUAACUACGUGCCAGCAGCCGCGGUAAUACGUAGGUGGCAAGCGUUGUCCGGAAUUAUUGGGCGUAAAGGGCUCGCAGGCGGUUUCUUAAGUCUGAUGUGAAAGCCCCCGGCUCAACCGGGGAGGGUCAUUGGAAACUGGGGAACUUGAGUGCAGAAGAGGAGAGUGGAAUUCCACGUGUAGCGGUGAAAUGCGUAAAGAUGUGGAGGAACACCAGUGGCGAAGGCGACUCUCUGGUCUGUAACUGACGCUGAGGAGCGAAAGCGUGGGGAGCGAACAGGAUUAGAUACCCUGGUAGUCCACGCCGUAAACGAUGAGUGCUAACUGUUAGGGGGGUUUCCCCCCCCUUAUUGCUGCACCUAAACGCAUUAAAGCACUCCGCCCUGGCGGAGUACGUGUCCAAAAGACUGGAGACUCAAAAGAAAUUAAAAGAGGGCCCGCCACAACCCCGUGGUAAGCAUGUGAGUUUUAGUUCGAAAGCGAGCGGCGGAGAA